UGCUCAGCUGGGAUUCAAACCCACGAUUCUUUUAUGCUAGACGAGCGCUUUACCAAUUCAGUUACCGAGUC
rnacentral:tRNA from 1 species